GGAGAGGUGCUGGAGCUGGUUGAACAGGCCGGUCUCGAAAACCGGUGUGCCCUCACGGGUACCGUGGGUUCGAAUCCCACCCUCUCCGCCA
rnacentral:tRNA from 1 species